AUUUAUACCCCAGCUUUCUCCGGAAAAGGACUCAAAGCAGCCUAUGUUAUUAAAAACAGUUUUAAGAUAUUUAAAAAAUAAAUUGUUCCACAUUAUUUCUUAGUCCUUCAGGUGACACAAUUCCUCCUUGUUUUUGCUCCAGCCGACUAAAAGAACUAUCCCGCAGAAAAAUGAUUCCCAUCUGCGUUCUCCUCAGCAAGAAUUUGCAACGACACGGCUUCUGGUUAAACGCAUGGAACCUAAAUGGACGAUGGAGCUCAGCACCUCGGGAUGGGAGGCUGGGAAACCGCGCCGGAGCGCGAGCUUCGCAGUCGGGAAGCACCGCUCGUUCCCUUCACACAACCUCCAAACAAAUUGAACUGGAGGCCUGAGGGUGGGCGGGGAGGUGCGGGCGUCUUAAUUGCUUAAAAUCAUCCCUCCCCUGCACGUCCUACAUAAAAAAGAAACUGCAGGGAAGGCAGAACAGGAAAUGAGAGACGACUGGUUCGCUCCUGUCCCUCUUCCAAAUAAGAUCGUGCCCGCCCCCGUCGUCGUGCCUAACCCCCGCCUCCUUUGAACCCGUCCUAUUGAGACCAUCCCUACGGAAACGCUUUGCUAUUCCUUCCUUCGAACACCCGUCCCUCCCCCCGCCCAGGUUGCUGCGAUGGUUUGCUUCGCUUAGUGCCUCCGCCGGUCUUCCUGUCCACCCCUUCCACGAGGACACGGUGGUAUAUUCCUCUGGCACAGCACCGAGGCUUGGGAGGCUUCCAGUCCUCUUCUAGCAAAGAGCUGCUGCUGCUGCCGCCGCCGGCGCGCUGGUUGGGGGCUUAGAGAGGAAAAGAGGAGGCCCGCCGGUGCUGGAGAGGCAGGAGCCGGGGACUGGCACCAGGCCGCCUUCCUCCUCCCGCCCUCAUUCUCUUGGCUGGCAUGACACUUUUUGGCAGCAGCGAAAGGUGCUGGAGAUAUCUAGACAUGGCCCAUGAACCCAAGCUAAGUCAUACCAGGCCUAGUCAGAAGAGGCAACAUGGUGGAGGCCUAUAUCCGGUUUAUGAGUACCCAGAGAUCCCCCCUCUCAUCAGUUACAUUCCUGUCAAGAUCAGGCGGAGACACCUAGGGGCACGGAGCAAGACCAGCCUAGGCCCACAUACAGCGCUAAGAGGAAGCAGCAAUUCCACAACAGGCACUACAAAAUUGAGAGCAGAAGAGUUACACUCCAUCAAAGGAGAACUAAGCCAAAUAAAAGCGCAGGUGGAUAGCUUGUUGGAGAGUCUGGAUCGGAUGGAUCAGCGACGUGAGCACCCCAUAGGUGCCAAGGAAGGCAAGAAGAAAGCUUUAACCGGUGGAGAGGUGUCAUCCCAAGCAGGAGAGCCUAGCCAGAAGAAGGAAAGCACAGACGACGACACCCACGCUGCCCUGCCUUAUUUUGACAGUGCAGAGGAGAGCACAGACACUGAAGAGGCGGCAAGGAAUCACACACUUGAUCUUGAAGGCAGCAACUAA
rnacentral:lncRNA from 1 species